CACCGCGGUUAUACGAGAGGCCCGAGUUGACAGACGCCGGCGUAAAGAGUGGUUAGAGGAAAUAGGAACUAGAGCUGAACUUCCCCCCGGCUGUCAUACGCACCCGGAGGAACGGAACCCCACCCACGAAAGUGGCUCUACCUUCACCUGACCCCACGACAACUAGGGAA
rnacentral:rRNA from 1 species